rnacentral:rRNA from 1 species
GACAGAGGAUGCAAGCGUUAUCCGGAAUGAUUGGGCGUAAGCGUCUGUAGGUGGCUUUUUAAGUCCGCCGUCAAAUCCCAGGGCUCAACCCUGGACAGGCGGUGGAAACUACCAAGCUGGAGUACGGUAGGGGCAGAGGGAAUUUCCGGUGGAGCGGUGAAAUGCGUAGAGAUCGGAAAGAACACCAACGGCGAAAGCACUUUACUGGGCUAUCACUGACACUGAGAGACGAAAGCUAGGGGAGCGAAUGGG